GUGCCAGCAGCCGCGGUAAUACGUAGGGUGCAAGCGUUGCCCGGAUUUAUUGGGCGUAAAGGGCGCGUAGGCGGCCAGGAACGUCACGCGUGAAAUCUCCCGGCUCAACUGGGAGGGGUCGCGUGAUACGGCCUGGCUAGAGCAAGGUAGGGGGAAGUGGAAUUCCCGGUGUAGUGGUGGAAUGCGUAGAUAUCGGGAGGAACACCAGUGGCGAAGGCGGCUUCCUGGACCUUUGCUGACGCUAAGGCGCGAAAGCGUGGGUAGCGAUCCGGAUUAGAUACCCGGGUAGUCC
rnacentral:rRNA from 1 species